rnacentral:rRNA from 1 species
GACGAACGCUGGCGGCGUGCCUAAUACAUGCAAGUCGAACGAGAGCGCCCGGUGCUUGCACUGUUCACUCUAGGGGCGCACGGGUGAGUAACACGUGGGUAACCUGCCUAUCAGAGGGGGAUAACAUUCGGACACGGGCGCUAAAACCGCAGAAGCUUUUGAACCGCAGUGGUUGUAGAGGAAAAGCGGCGCAAGCGGCGGCAGAGGGAUGUACCCGGGGUGCAGGAGGUAGUUGGGGAGGUAACGGCUCACCAAGGCCGGGAUGCGUAGCCGACCUCAGGGGGUGAUCGGCGGCAUUGGAACUGGGACACGGCCCAUACUCCUACGGGAGGCAGCAGACGGGACUCUUCCGCCGUGGACGCGCGUCUGGCGGCGCGGCGCCGAGUGUGUGGCGAAGGUUUUCGGAUCGUAAAACUCUGUUGUUAGUGAAGACCCGGUGCUGGCGUUGCUGUUCGCGCCUUGCCGGUCCCUGGCCCGAAAGCCCCGGCUCCCUACGUG